rnacentral:rRNA from 1 species
UACGUAGGGUGCGAGCGUUUAAUCGGAAUUACUGGGCGUAAAGCGUGCGCAGGCUGUUCUGUAAGUCAGAUGUGAAAUCCCCGAGCUCAACUUGGGAACUGCGUUUGAAACUACAGGACUAGAAUAUGUCAGAGGGGGGUAGAAUUCCACGUGUAGCAGUGAAAUGCGUAGAGAUGUGGAGGAAUACCAAUGGCGAAGGCAGCCCCCUGGGAUAAUAUUGACGCUCAUGCACGAAAAGCGUGGGGGAGCAAACAGG